rnacentral:lncRNA from 1 species
CAGCACAGGUCAUCUUUAAGAUAUCUUAUUUACAACCAAAUAUGGUCUUAAUGUCUUAGGUCUCAAUUAAGACUUUUAAAAGAUAUCUUUAAAACGCCAAAUUUAAGAUAUCUUUAAAACGCCAAAUUUAAGAUAUCUUUUAGACAUCAUAUUUAAGACAUUUUUUCUUAAAAUACGUUAUGUUAUAAUUACGAAUUUAAAAGUUAGGUUAGGUUAGUAAAAUAUUUAAGACAAGAGCUGGUAGCAAAAAGACAAACUCCAAACAAAAGCUUUUUCACAUCAAUGACUUCAGUGGUAUUUCCCAUAUUAUGGUUUUAUUUGAGGGAUAUUUAGAAGACUACAGAUUUUAAUAAUGCAGUAGGUAUCGGAGCUUGUUAAAGUAGGAGGAGCAAAAGCCUAUGAUUUUGUAUAAAUAGUUGGAAAAUUAAUUAUUAGCAAUGAGCAAGCUUUAAGUACAGUUGGCUGGGACAAAAAGGCAAACACAAAAGUUUUGUGAUACUAGAAUUGCAAAUCUGAUAAUUGGUAAAGCUUAUUCUACAUGUACAUGUAAAAUUUUAAUAGCAAUAAACGUAUUUUUAGAAA